UACGUAGGGUGCGAGCGUUAAUCGGAAUUACUGGGCGUAAAGCGUGCGCAGGCGGUAAGUUAAGUCUGAUGUGAAAGCCCCGGGCUCAACCUGGGAACGGCAUUGGAAACUGGCUUGCUGGAGUGUGGCAGAGGGGGGUGGAAUUCCGCGUGUAGCAGUGAAAUGCGUAGAGAUGCGGAGGAACACCGAUGGCGAAGGCAGCCCCCUGGGCCAACACUGACGCUCAGGCACGAAAGCGCGGGGAGCGAACAGG
rnacentral:rRNA from 1 species